CUUCGUUUAAGAGUGAACCAAGAUUGAAUCUAGUCUGGUUUGGCUUGACCUGUUUUAUUUCGGUUACGUCUGGUUUUCUAUCACUAAUUUGAACGAAAAUUUGAGAAAUCUUAAUACGUUUUUGAUUAGGUUUCUGUUUUCUUUGCUAGAUAUGAAUGUAGUUACUGGAUUAUACUACUCUGUUCAAAUGAAGGGUACAU